AAGAGAGACAUAAAAGAAAAGGAGAUGCAGACUUUAGAAAGAGAAAGUAAGAGUCUGAGAAAGUAGAGAGAGAGCAGCAAAGAAAAAGGGAUCCGAUGGGUUCCGGCCGCUGGCGAUGGCGGAGCCAUGGUGCCUUUAAUUGGAGCUACAACAAUGGUGGUCUAGAUGGUGUCGGGUUGGAGAAAUAAACAACAGUGGUGGUGCUAGGGUUUGACAGAGGAUGAUGGUGAUAAGAGGCGGUGGUUCAGUUAACCCCCUUCUGUCUUGUCUCUCAUGUCCUUAUCCAUUCCUCUGGGGUUCUCCCCCUUCUCUGACGAAGGAGCCGACAGUGAUAGUGAUGGCCGGCCAUGAAGAAGAUGAUGGUGUUUCUUUUGUUGAGAAGUGACGGUGGUAGUGAUGGCCGGCAAGACGAUGGUGUUUCUUUUGUUGAGAAGUGGUGCUGGAGACAAAGAUUAGGGUUCCGAAAUGUCUUCUGGUAUAGUUCCGGCUAAACUCAGGUAAGGUUCGAUUCUAUUGCAUGUUUCAGUACUUUCUUGAAUUUAUAUUAUUAGAGUGAAUAGUAAAUUAGUAAACACUAAUGAAUAGAUAUCACUUACUACAUCACAGUUGUUCCAUUGUAACACAAAUAUUUUUAUUAAUAAACAAAAAAAACACAUACUUCAUGAAAAAUGAUUUCGUAAAUAUAAUCAAACUAAACAUACAGCAAAUGUAAGCUUCUUAAACCUUCAAACGCCAUUUGAAGAUGAUAAUCAAUAGUGAAAAAUGUAAACAUUGUACUCAAAUGCUCCAUCAAUCCUGCUAGCAUCGAAGAACUGAGUAUUCGUAAGCGCGUAACCACGUGCAAAUCGAAAAAUCCCAGUUCCUCCAACGAUUGGCAACUCUCUCACUGGCAACAAUACUUGAUUCCUCCCUAAGAUUCUCAAACUAUUACCAUUGUAUUUAUCAUCUAUAAAAAUGUAAUUUAGGACAAAUAAAAACCCGAAGUCAUUUAAGUCAGCAGACGCAAUCGUUUUUUUAAAAAUCGUACACACAUCAGUUGACAUAUGACAUCAACAUAUAAAAGAUAUACAAUAUAAAAAAACUACAUACAAACAUAUAAUACGAUUAUCACAAUUAUUUAUUAGAAAAUUAUGCUCGUAACAUAUAAAUUAGGGGUGUGCAAAAUCCUUCGAAAACAAACGGAACCACCUAAACCCAAGAAAGGUAACCAGCUUGAGUACAUACGGUCAUGUUCAUAGUUCAGUUUUUACAAUGAUUAAAACCAGAAACUAGCCAUAUAACAUUUAUUAUCUUUUCUUAUUUUUUAAAUAUAAAUCUAUACAUAUACUUUUAUUGAAAAAUAUAUGUUUAUAAAAACAACUUUUUCCCUAAAUCGUCAAAAGCAAACUGUAAAACUGCGAGUACUAGCCAGUUUGCCUGACCCAAUCAACUCAACGUGUUUGCUUUGUAUUUCUUUUUCCAAACUUGCAUGUGUGUCCCCACACCAUCUCUACCUGUAUCUGAACUUGGCGGAAGGUGGUCACAGAAGCUACGCCACUGGUCAGAGAUAUGGUGUGUACCCACACCAUCUCUACCGGUAUUACUCCGCGAACUCUUCCGCGGGGUACGCACAACAAUAUGGUAAUCUCUCUUGCAGCCGCUCCUCCAUUGCAACCGGUAAGUGUAAUUUUCAUGACAAUUAGCAAGUUUACUAUCUUUUCUUACAAAAACUCAACUAACCUUUUUGACAGAUGGAAAUGCUCAAAGAAGUUGAUCAAGAUACUUGAAAGGUGGUAGUAGAACAAAAGGAAUAGGGCAAUGGUUGGAUGAAAAUGGGUUCGAAUCGCGAGAAAAAGGAAGGGGCUUUUUUGAUUCGUGGGUGGGCACCACAAGUUCUGAGCCUAUUGUACCGAACCAUGGGUUUUCCGCACGUUUUCGCCACCGCAACGCGUGACGGGUAAUCAAAUCCACCUGCGGAACUAAGGUGUCAAAUUUAGAUAACAUGCUGUGGUGGCGGCGGUUUACACUCGAGAAUCACAUAUUAAGGCGGUGAUGGUGAAUGUUGUUUCAGACAGCGCACCGAGGUGGCUUCCUUUGACGACGAAGACGAUGAAGAUGACUAACAACCGAGAACCAUGAGAAGUAUUUGUUCUUAUGAAAAUUAGUUGGGAGAUUGGGUGAAACCACUACGACAACACCGUUGUUUGUCGCUGCUUUAGCCUAUAUAUCGUCCACUUUUUCAUCUAGAGCACCAAGACAAUCGUUCAAGCCUUUAAACCUGAUAUGUUUUGCUUACAGGGUCUUCUCUGUUUACCAAAUAAUCACAUAGGAAGUUUGCAAAUUGACGUUGUUUGUCAUAAGGAGAUAGUACGUGGAUUGUUAAGAAGUUUAUGUGUGGAGAUGUUAAGACCGGAGGUUCAACGUGUUUAUUAGUGUACACAAUUAUUUAUAUAACGUUGUAUUUAUAGUUGUUACUCGGAUUUUGAUGAAGAAAGAAGUCUAAUAAGCUUAAACAUAAUUGGUGUAAA